GAUGAACGCUGGCGGCGUGCCUAAUACAUGCAAGUCGAGCGAACGGACGAGAAGCUUGCUUCUCUGAUGUUAGCGGCGGACGGGUGAGUAACACGUGGAUAACCUACCUAUGAGACUGGGAUAACUUCGGGAAACCGGAGCUAAUACCGGAUAAUAUUUUGAACCGCAUGGUUCAAAAGUGAAAGACGGUCUUGCUGUCACUUAUAGAUGGAUCCGCGCUGCAUUAGCUAGUUGGUAAGGUAACGGCUUACCAAGGCAACGAUGCAUAGCCGACCUUAGAGGGUGAUCGGCCACACUGGAACUGAGACACGGUCCAGACUCCUACGGGAGGCAGCAGUAGGGAAUCUUCCGCAAUGGGCGAAAGCCUGACGGAGCAACGCCGCGUGAGUGAUGAAGGUCUUCGGAUCGUAAAACUCUGUUAUUAGGGAAGAACAUAUGUGUAAGUAACUGUGCACAUCUUGACGGUACCUAAUCAGAAAGCCACGGCUAACUACGUG
rnacentral:rRNA from 1 species